UACGAAGGGUGCAAGCGUUACUCGGAAUUACUGGGCGUAAAGCGUGCGUAGGUGGUUCGUUAAGUCUGUCGUGAAAGCCCCGGGCUCAACCUGGGAAUGGCGAUGGAUACUGGCGGGCUAGAGUGCGGUAGAGGAGAGUGGAAUUCCCGGUGUAGCAGUGAAAUGCGUAGAGAUCGGGAGGAACAUCAGUUGCGGAAGGCGGCUCUCUGGACCAGCACUGACACUGAGGCACGGAAAGCGUGGGGAGCAAACAGG
rnacentral:rRNA from 1 species